GCACGCGCAGUCCGCCUCACGCAGCCGCCUCUGCCUCCGACUCCCCCACGCGGCGCCCAGAUCCGCCGCCCGCCGGCGAGUAGCCUCCGCCCUUGCCGGCGACGAGGAGGGCGGCGACCAGCCUCCGCCCUUGCCGGCGACGAGGAGCCCCCGUGGCGGCCAUGAAGGGCUGCACCCGGCCUCCAGCAACGAGCCCUGGCCGGCUGUCCGCCCGAGGAGUGGAACUGUGGAAGACGCGCAUGCUUGAUGUCUUGGCGCACGACAACGGCGUUGCGUCCACCGCGGCAGCCGGAUGGUUAGGGGCGCGGCAGCAGCAGCACCUCCUCUGCCGACCAGGUAGCUUGCCGGCUCCCUUUCCCAGUUUCCCUCUCCCUUUCCUUUCCAAUUUCUAUCAAUCCCUCUUUCCCCGUAGACAGUAGAUGAGUAGAUAGUAGAUUAAUACAAUCAUGCCUUUGCUUUUCUUUUCCGGUAGAUGCCUUCAUGGAGGACAACAAGCUCAAGCAGUGGUAGUGCUAGUAUAGGAUCUGCAUCCUCAACACCUACUGAUAUUAGAGCUCCCCUGUGGGAUCAUGUCACAAUAUUGGAAAAGGCAAAAUCAGGUGUAGGCAAUACUUUAUGGAAAUGCAAUUAGUCAAUUACUGUCCAAUGAGCAAAGCCACUAGCUAUACUAGAGUUGAGGCUCACUUGCUGAAAUUGAAAAACAGAGGAAUUGCUCACUGAUAUGCUGCUAAUAUAUUUCACAUGCACUAUAUUAAUAGUUGGUUUUUGUGUGCAAAUUCUGGACUUGGAGGAGGAGAACUCGAGAAUGGACAAUUGGACAUCACAAUUGGAGAAUGGAGAUGCUUCCGGUCUUUGCUUUGGCUAGUAACUGCUAUUGCAAGGUAUAUAGCUAUAUGCAGGUUCUUCCUUUUUUGGUGGCCAAGUUCCUGACAUUCUAGAAGGUCUUUCUUUUUCUUCUUCAGUUUUUAUUUCUGGACCUCGUCUUCUUUUAGAUGAACUAGAGUCAAGGUCCAUUGCUUCUAUAGCAUUAUCUUUGUCUUGUAAAGACACAUGUAUUUCUAAAUCUUUGCUAUAUGACUUAUUUAUAUCUUCA